GGCUCAGGACGAACGCGGCGGCGUGCUUAACACAUGCAAGUCGAACGGUGAAGCCCUUCGGGGUGGAUCAGUGGCGAACGGGUGAGUAACACGUGGGAAAUCUGCCCUGCACUCUGGGACAAGCCUUGGAAACGAGGUCUAAUACCGGAUAUGACCUUCCUCCGCAUGGGGGUGGGUGUAAAGCUCCGGCGGUGCAGGAUGAUCCCGCGGCCUAUCAGCUUGUUGGUGGGGUAAUGGCCUACCAAGGCGACGACGGGUAGCCGGCCUGAGAGGGCGACCGGCCACACUGGGACUGAGACACGGCCCAGACUCCUACGGGAGGCAGCAGUGGGGAAUAUUGCACAAUGGGCGAAAGCCUGAUGCAGCGACGCCGCGUGAGGGAUGACGGCCUUCGGGUUGUAAACCUCUUUCAGCAGGGAAGAAGCGCAAGUGACGGUACCUGCAGAAGAAGCACCGGCUAACUACGUGCCAGCAGCCGCGGUAAUACGUAGGGUGCGAGCGUUGUCCGGAAUUAUUGGGCGUAAAGAGCUCGUAGGCGGCCUGUCGCGUUGGAUGUGAAAGCCCGGGGCUUAACCCCGGGUCUGCAUUCGAUACGGGCAGGCUAGAGUGUGGUAGGGGAGAUCGGAAUUCCUGGUGUAGCGGUGAAAUGCGCAGAUAUCAGGAGGAACACCGGUGGCGAAGGCGGAUCUCUGGGCCAUUACUGACGCUGAGGAGCGAAAGCGUGGGGAGCGAACAGGAUUAGAUACCCUGGUAGUCCACGCCGUAAACGUUGGGAACUAGGUGUUGGCGACAUUCCACGUCGUCGGUGCCGCAGCUAACGCAUUAAGUUCCCC
rnacentral:rRNA from 1 species